UGCUGCUUGGAGAUUACGAGCCUGGAGAGCGAUCGAGGGUCAUCAGCCAUUUUAGCAAGGAACGACAUCAUCUGGUGCGGUCUCCUUUCGGUAGCCUUUAAUCGCUUGCUCAUAACCUGCAGCUCUUCUUCGAGGGCCCUCUGCUCCUGCCGUAACCUAAAGAGCUCCUGCAGGAGCAUCUCGUCCACCUCCCCUUCCAUGGCUCCCUUCUCCUUCUCGCUGCUGCUGCUGCUGCUGCUGCUACAGGCAAACAAGCCAGCAUGGGCUCUCUUGGUCCGCCUAAUGAUGCGAGGAAGGAGGUGAAUCUGGUCCCUGAGGAACGACUGGUGAGCGAACUCCCACCUAUCUGGAUCCACCUUCCUGAAUCCCUGAACACGAUAAGAGAAGAUAGACAUGAACAGUUCUGAUGCAAAGGAUUGCAGGCGGAAAAGAUCGAGCAAGGAGUGACACUACAGACGUAGGUGUUCAGCUGGCGGACGAAGCUGGAGAAGUUACUGUGCCUGAAAUAGUAAGGCAGCAGGAACUGGGAGAACUCGUUGGGACUGAGCACCAGGAAGCU
rnacentral:lncRNA from 1 species